rnacentral:rRNA from 1 species
GAUGAACGCUGGCGGCGUGCCUAAUACAUGCAAGUCGAACGAACGGAAUUAGAGUUUACUCUGAGGAAGUUAGUGGCGAACGGGUGAGUAAUACAUAAGCAACCUACCUUUAUGACUGGGAUAACUAUUGGAAACGAUAGCUAAUACCGGAUAGGUAGUUGAGUGGCAUCACUUAAUUAUUAAAGGUUAGAAACACAAAAGGAUGGGCUUAUGGCGCAUUAGCUAGUUGGUGAGGUAGAGGCUCACCAAGGCGAUGAUGCGUAGCCGACCUGAGAGGGUGACCGGCCACACUGGGACUGAGACACGGCCCAGACUCCUACGGGAGGCAGCAGUAGGGAAUUUUCGGCAAUGGGGGCAACCCUGACCGAGCAACGCCGCGUGAGUGAUGAAGGCCUUCGGGUUGUAAAGCUCUGUUGUAAAGGAAGAAUGGCAGAGAUAGAAUCUUUGUAUGACGGUACUUUACCAGAAAGCCACGGCUAACUACGUGCCAGCAGCCGCGGUAAUACGUAGGUGGCAAGCGUUAUCCGGAAUUAUUGGGCGUAAAGGGUGCGCAGGCGGCCAUAUAAGUCUGGGGUGAAAGACCGAAGCUCAACUUCGGUUUGCCUUGGAAACUGUAUGGCUAGAGUGCAAGAGAGGACAAUGGAAUUCCAUGU